UUGGAGGGCAAGGCUGGUGCAGCAGCCGCGGUAAUUCCAGCUCCAAUAGCGUAUAUUAAAGUUGUUUCAGUUAAAAAGCUCGUAGUUGAAUUUCGGGGUUCAUACGUUGGUCGGGCUAUUUGGUCUGUACUUAUGUAAUGGGAUUCCUACCUUCUGAAUAACCGGCAUGUCAUUAAUUUGGUGCGCCGGGGAAGCAGGUCUGUUACCUUGAAAAAAUUAGAGUGCUUAAAGCGGGCUAUCGCCUGAAUACAUUAGCAUGGAAUAAUGAAAUAGGACGGCAUGGUUCUAUUUUGUUGGUUUCUAGGAUCACCGUAAUGAUUAAUAGGGAUAGUUGGGGGCAUUAGUAUUCAAUUGUCAGAGGUGAAAUUCUUGGAUUUAUUGAAGACUAACUUCUGCGAAAGCAUUUGCCAAGGAUGUUUUCAUUAAUCAAGAACGAAGGUUAGGGGAUCGAGGACGAUCAGAUACCGUCGUAGUCUUAACCAUAAACUAUGCCGACUAGGGAUCGGACGAUGUUAAUUUUUUAAUGACUCGUUCGGCGCCUUACGGGAAAC
rnacentral:rRNA from 1 species